AGCGAACGUUAGCGGCGGGCUUAACACAUGCAAGUCGAGCGAGAAAGGGGCUUCGGCCCUGAGUACAGCGGCGGACGGGUGAAUAACACGUAGGUAACCUUCCUUCCAGCGGGGGACAACGGUCCGAAAGGACCGCUAAUACCGCAUACGGUUCCCUGGGACCCUGGUCCCGGGGAGGAAAGCUCCGCAAGGGGCACUGGAUGAGGGGCCUGCGUAGCAUCAGCUAGUUGGUGGGGUAAUGGCCUACCAAGGCUAAGACGCUUAGCUGGUCUGAGAGGAUGAUCAGCCACACUGGGACUGAGACACGGCCCAGACUCCUACGGGAGGCAGCAGUGGGGAAUAUUGGACAAUGGGCGCAAGCCUGAUCCAGCCACGCCGCGUGAGUGAUGAAGGCCUCGGUCGUAAGACUCUGUGGGAGGGACGGAAGUGGACGCCGUCGAAGAGCGGCGAGUGACGGUACCGUCCUUA
rnacentral:rRNA from 1 species